UGCAGUCGAGUGCGCGCCCGUAGCAAUACGGGUGGCGCACGGCGCACGGGUGCGUAACACGUGGGUAACCUGCCCUUUGAUGGGGAAUAACCCCGCGAAAGCGGGGCUAAUACCGCAUAAGAUCCGCAAGGAUGAAAGCCGUAAGGCGUCGAAGGAGGGGCCCGCGCACGAUUAGCUAGUUGGUAGGGUAACGGCCUACCAAGGCUUUGAUCGUUAGCUGGUCUGAGAGGAUGGCCAGCCACACUGGAACUGGGACACGGUCCAGACUCCUACGGGAGGCAGCAGUGGGGAAUCUUGCACAAUGGGCGAAAGCCUGAUGCAGCGACGCCGCGUGGGGGAUGAAGCUUCUCGGAGUGUAAACCCCUUUCGACCCGGACGAAUGCCCCGCAAGGGGACUGACGGUACGGGUAUAAGAAGCCCCGGCUAACUACGUGCCAGCAGCCGCGGUAAGACGUAGGGGGCCAGCGUUGUUCGGAAUUACUGGGUGUAAAGGGUUCGUAGGCGGUGUGGCAAGUCGGGAGUGAAAUCUCUGGGCUCAACUCAGAGUCUGCUUCCGAAACUGCUGUGCUGGAGUGUGGGAGAGGCGCGUGGAAUUGCAGGUGUAGCGGUGAAAUGCGUAGAUAUCUGCAGGAACACCCGUGGCGAAAGCGGCGCGCUGGACCACUACUGACGCUGAGGAACGAAAGCUAGGGGAGCAAACAGGAUUAGAUACCCUGGUAGUCCUAGCCCUAAACGAUCAGGACUUGGGGUGCCACCCGUUCGGGUGUCGUCCCGGAGCUAACGCGUUAAGUCCUGCACCUGGGGAGUACGGUCGCAAGACUGAAACUCAAGAAUUGACGGGGGCCCGCACAAGCGGUGGAACAUGUGGUUCAAUUCGACGCUACGCGAGGAACUACCUGGGCUCGAAAUGCUUCUGA
rnacentral:rRNA from 1 species